rnacentral:lncRNA from 1 species
AUGCAAAAGUACCCAACAGAGCGGAGGUGUGUGGGGAAAAUGCGCCAAGAUAAGGGGAGGGGAGCGGGAGCGGAGGGAAGGACAGAGAAGUCGAGACCCAGACGCAGGACGCCAGGGACCGAGAGGGGGGAGCCGGAAGCGAGCCCGAAGUCUGGGAUACGGGGGCGGCAGGAGCUCCAUCGUAACGCGUGUCUUCCAUGCUGUUUAUCCCUCAGCUCCGUGUCCGGAGGAGUGGUCCACGCAGUCGAUGACGAGACUGUCCUGGUGGAGUGCAACCGGCCUGGCCACGCUUUGAUUAAUAAGACAUACACGUUUGAAAGGUAAGUGCUUUUCGAGACGACAGGUAGAGCAAAGUCACACGAAUGGAAACCUUGCACCAGGGUUUGGUUAACAAAAGGCACAAUUCAUCCUAUCAUUUUGACUGGUUGCAAAGGGGCAAAGGCAGUUCAGUGGAGAAAGGUCAGUCUUUUCCACAGGUGAUGCUGGGACAACUGGACGUCCCCGGGCAGAAAUGAAAGGGUCUUUGUGCAGAUGUCACAGCUUUGGCAAAAAUGAAGUAAAGUGGAAGCUGAGUGUCAAGCCUGAAACCACCAGCUUUAGAAGGUGCAUAGAGGAAGCCUUCGUGACCUUGGGUGAAGAUGGGGUUCUCAGAAACGUGCCCAAAGCAUGAUCCAUGAGAGAGUCAGAAGUUAAACUUUCUAUUUUGUUUAUGAUACUGUUAAGAGGAUGAGGGGACAAGCCACACACUGGAGAAAAUAUUUGGAAAUCACAUAGCUUACAAAGGACCGGAUCCAGAAUACACACAGAACCCUGGAAAAUCAGAGAACAGACAGCCCAGUGAACAAGCCGGCAAAACACCCAAACAGACAUCACUCCAAGGACGGAGGCUCAAGGUCCAGUUACGUGGGAAAUGCGCUGACAGCCCAAGGCGAUGGCAGGCGGAGGAGUAAACCCCUGACCACUGGACCCAGCAGCCUCUCCCGGGCAUUCACCCAAGACUCACGGAAAUGUUUACACUCAUGUUUGCACAAACCGUGACAGUGGGUGUUGACAGCUGCUUCACUCACGACCGACAAAACCGGGGACAAGCCAGCUGUCCUCAGCCGGUGGGAGGUGGAGCCUGAGGGCCCCGGGGACGGACUGCAGCCCAAAGGGAGGACAGACCACCAUCGUGGGCAGCGGAGGCCAGACCCAGAGGUUCACUGGGACUCGUUCCUUUACAGACGUUCUGGACAAGACUGAACUCUAGUGGCUGCUGGGAGGUGAUGGGGGAGAAAAUGUCAGUCGCUCCAUCAUGUGCGACUCUUUGUGACCCCACGGACUGUAGCCGCCAGGCUCCUCUGUCCAUGGGGUUCUCCAGGCAAGGAUACUGAAGUGAGUUGCCAUUUCCUUCUCUAGGGGAUUUUCCCAACGCAGGGAUUGAACCCGGGUCUCCUGCAUUUCGGGCAGACGCUUUACCGCCAGGGCAGCACUUGGUGGGGGCGGGGCUGGUGUGUCUGCCGGGGCUGCUGGGGCAUUUCCCAGUGAGGGCUCGCCCUCCCGGGCAGGCGGCAACGCAGUGCGCUGGUCGGCGGGCACAGGGCUGCGGCCCCAGAAAGUAGACUGCACUGUUGGAGGACUUUUAAAAUACCAGACAUUUUUUCAGAGAGACUUUAACACACCUAUCUGUCACUUGUGAUAGGGGGAUCCUGAUUUAAUCAAAUAAACAAACCAUUUAAAACA